rnacentral:rRNA from 1 species
UUAAGCGACUAAGCGUACACGGUGGAUGCCCUGGCAGUCAGAGGCGAUGAAGGGCGUGCUAAUCUGCGAUAAGCGCCGGUAAGGUGAUAUGAACCGUUAUAACCGGCGAUACCCGAAUGGGGAAACCCAGUGUGACUCGUCACACUAUCAUUAACUGAAUCCAUAGGUUAAUGAGGCGAACCGGGGGAACUGAAACAUCUAAGUACCCCGAGGAAAAGAAAUCAACCGAGAUUCCCCCAGUAGCGGCGAGCGAACGGGGAGGAGCCCAGAGCCUGAAUCAGCAUGUGUGUUAGUGGAAGCGUCUGGAAAGGCGCGCGAUACAGGGUGACAGCCCCGUACACAAAAGCGCAUGUGCUGUGAGCUCGAUGAGUAGGGCGGGACACGUGGUAUCCUGUCUGAAUAUGGGGGGACCAUCCUCCAAGGCUAAAUACUCCUGACUGACCGAUAGUGAACCAGUACCGUGAGGGAAAGGCGAAAAGAACCCCGGCGAGGGGAGUGAAAAAGAACCUGAAACCGUGUACGUACAAGCAGUGGGAGCACCCUUCGGGGUGUGACUGCGUACCUUUUGUAUAAUGGGUCAGCGACUUAUAUUCUGUAGCAAGGUUAACCGAAUAGGGGAGCCGGAGGGAAACCGAGUCUUAAUUGGGCGUUAAGUUGCAGGGUAUAGACCCGAAACCCGGUGAUCUAGCCAUGGGCAGGUUGAAGGUUGGGUAACACUAACUGGAGGACCGAACCGACUAAUGUUGAAAAAUUAGCGGAUGACCUGUGGCUGGGGGUGAAAGGCCAAUCAAACCGGGAGAUAGCUGGUUCUCCCCGAAAGCUAUUUAGGUAGCGCCUCGUGAAUUCAUCUCCGGGGGUAGAGCACUGUUUCGGCUAGGGGGCCAUCCCGGCUUACCAACCCGAUGCAAACUGCGAAUACCGGAGAAUGUUAUCACGGGAGACACACGGCGGGUGCUAACGUCCGUCGUGAAGAGGGAAACAACCCAGACCGCCAGCUAAGGUCCCAAAGUCAUGGUUAAGUGGGAAACGAUGUGGGAAGGCCCAGACAGCCAGGAUGUUGGCUUAGAAGCAGCCAUCAUUUAAAGAAAGCGUAAUAGCUCACUGGUCGAGUCGGCCUGCGCGGAAGAUGUAACGGGGCUAAACCAUGCACCGAAGCUGCGGCAGCGACGUUUAUGCGUUGUUGGGUAGGGGAGCGUUCUGUAAGCCUGCGAAGGUGGCCUGUGAGGGUUGCUGGAGGUAUCAGAAGUGCGAAUGCUGACAUAAGUAACGAUAAAGCGGGUGAAAAGCCCGCUCGCCGGAAGACCAAGGGUUCCUGUCCAACGUUAAUCGGGGCAGGGUGAGUCGACCCCUAAGGCGAGGCCGAAAGGCGUAGUCGAUGGGAAACGGGUUAAUAUUCCCGUACUUGGUGUUACUGCGAAGGGGGGACGGAGAAGGCUAUGUUGGCCGGGCGACGGUUGUCCCGGUUUAAGCGUGUAGGUGUGUGUUCCAGGUAAAUCCGGUUCACUUUAACACUGAGGCGUGAUGACGAGGCACUACGGUGCUGAAGCAACAAAUGCCCUGCUUCCAGGAAAAGCCUCUAAGCAUCAGGUAACACGAAAUCGUACCCCAAACCGACACAGGUGGUCAGGUAGAGAAUACCAAGGCGCUUGAGAGAACUCGGGUGAAGGAACUAGGCAAAAUGGUGCCGUAACUUCGGGAGAAGGCACGCUGACACGUAGGUGAAGUGAUUUACUCAUGGAGCUGAAGUCAGUCGAAGAUACCAGCUGGCUGCAACUGUUUAUUAAAAACACAGCACUGUGCAAACACGAAAGUGGACGUAUACGGUGUGACGCCUGCCCGGUGCCGGAAGGUUAAUUGAUGGGGUCAGCGCAAGCGAAGCUCCUGAUCGAAGCCCCGGUAAACGGCGGCCGUAACUAUAACGGUCCUAAGGUAGCGAAAUUCCUUGUCGGGUAAGUUCCGACCUGCACGAAUGGCGUAAUGAUGGCCAGGCUGUCUCCACCCGAGACUCAGUGAAAUUGAACUCGCUGUGAAGAUGCAGUGUACCCGCGGCAAGACGGAAAGACCCCGUGAACCUUUACUAUAGCUUGACACUGAACAUUGAGCCUUGAUGUGUAGGAUAGGUGGGAGGCUUUGAAGUGUGGACGCCAGUCUGCAUGGAGCCGACCUUGAAAUACCACCCUUUAAUGUUUGAUGUUCUAACGUGGACCCGUAAUCCGGGUUGCGGACAGUGUCUGGUGGGUAGUUUGACUGGGGCGGUCUCCUCCUAAAGAGUAACGGAGGAGCACGAAGGUUGGCUAAUCCUGGUCGGACAUCAGGAGGUUAGUGCAAUGGCAUAAGCCAGCUUGACUGCGAGCGUGACGGCGCGAGCAGGUGCGAAAGCAGGUCAUAGUGAUCCGGUGGUUCUGAAUGGAAGGGCCAUCGCUCAACGGAUAAAAGGUACUCCGGGGAUAACAGGCUGAUACCGCCCAAGAGUUCAUAUCGACGGCGGUGUUUGGCACCUCGAUGUCGGCUCAUCACAUCCUGGGGCUGAAGUAGGUCCCAAGGGUAUGGCUGUUCGCCAUUUAAAGUGGUACGCGAGCUGGGUUUAGAACGUCGUGAGACAGUUCGGUCCCUAUCUGCCGUGGGCGCUGGAGAACUGAGGGGGGCUGCUCCUAGUACGAGAGGACCGGAGUGGACGCAUCACUGGUGUUCGGGUUGUCAUGCCAAUGGCACUGCCCGGUAGCUAAAUGCGGAAGAGAUAAGUGCUGAAAGCAUCUAAGCACGAAACUUGCCCCGAGAUGAGUUCUCCCUGAGACUUAGAGUCUCCUGAAGGAACGUUGAAGACGACGACGUUGAUAGGCCGGGUGUGUAAGCGCAGCGAUGCGUUGAGCUAACCGGUACUAAUGAACCGUGAGGCUUAACCUU